rnacentral:rRNA from 1 species
GACGAACGCUGGCGGCGUGCUUAACACAUGCAAGUCGAACGGAAAGGCCCUGCUUUUGUGGGGUGCUCGAGUGGCGAACGGGUGAGUAACACGUGAGUAACCUGCCCUUGACUUUGGGAUAACUUCAGGAAACUGGGGCGAAUACCGGAUAGGAGCUCCUGCUGCAUGGUGGGGGUUGGAAAGUUUCGGCGGUUGGGGAUGGACUCGCGGCUUAUCAGCUUGUUGGUGGGGUAGUGGCUUACCAAGGCUUUGACGGGUAGCCGGCCUGAGAGGGUGACCGGCCACAUUGGGACUGAGAUACGGCCCAGACUCCUACGGGCGGCAGCAGUGGGGAAUAUUGCACAAUGGGCGGAAGCCUGAUGCAGCAACGCCGCGUGCGGGAUGACGGCCUUCGGGUUGUAAACCGCUUUCGCCUGUGACGAAGCGUGAGUGACGGUAAUGGGUAAAGAAGCACCGGCUAACUACGUG